AGUGAACGCUGGCGGCAGGCCUAACACAUGCAAGUCGAGCGGCAGCGCGGGGGCAACCCUGGCGGCGAGCGGCGGACGGGUGAGGAAUUCGUCGGAAUCUGCCUUUUUGUGGGGGAUAACGUAGGGAAACUUACGCUAAUACCGCAUACGUCCUACGGGAGACAGUGGGGGACCCCAAGGCCUCACGCCGACAGCUGAGCCGACGACCGAUUAGCUAGUUGGUGGGGUAACGGCCCACCAAGGCGACGAUCGGUAGCUGUCCUGAGAGGAUGAUCAGUCACAGUAGGUCCAAGACACGGCGCACUGGGGCUGAGGAGGCAGCAGUGGGGAAUCUUGGCACAUGGGCGCAUGCCUGAUCCUGCCAUCCCGCGUGAGUGAUGAAGGCCUACGCGUUGUAGAGCGCUUUAGUCCGGAAAGAAGGCCCAGGAGCUAAUACCGGCGCGUUAUGACGGUACCGGAAAAAGAAGGACCCGCUUACUUCGUG
rnacentral:rRNA from 1 species